GUGCUCACUUCAGCAGCACAUACACUAAGAUUGGAAUGAUACUGAAAAGAUUAGCACGACCCUUGUGCAAGGCUGACACACAAAUGUGUGAAGCGUUCCAUAAUUUU
rnacentral:snRNA from 1 species